CACGUAGGGGGCAAGCGUUGUCCGGAUUCAUUGGGCGUAAAGAGCUCGUAGGCGGUUCGAUAAGUCGGGUGUGAAACCUCCAGGCUCAACCUGGAGACGCCACCCGAUACUGUCGUGACUAGAGUCCAGUAGGGGAGCGUGGAAUUCCUGGUGUAGCGGUGAAAUGCGCAGAUAUCAGGAGGAACACCAGUGGCGAAGGCGGCGCUCUGGGCUGGCACUGACGCUGAGGCACGAAAGCGUGGGGAGCAAACAGG
rnacentral:rRNA from 1 species